AGUAAACAGGUGAUGCGGUAUCCUAGUCAGCAAUGAUCUGUUUGAAAACGGGCCUAAAAAUCCGUUAAGGGCAUAUCGAUGAAGUUUCUGGUGUUGGCUUCUUACGCCCAGUUUGGGGCUGAUGCUGGAAGUUAAGGUUGAUGGGGAAUCCUCAACGGCAUGAGGGCUGACCCAGCUUCCGUGGAGACCCUUGACUGUGGGGAGCUCUUUUUGGUCAAAGAGGGAACUACGGCUUGGGAAGAACCUGUAUUCGGGUGAACUGGGUACAGUGUAGCCUGGCUUGAGUGGUUAAGGUGGAGAAGCAAAACCACCCCGCUGCGGAAAGGCCAAUUUCCCGUCGGUGGUGUCGAAACCGGUACUGCAAAAGAGCCUAAAACAGAUCGGCGCUGCCGAGGAAAACUCCUAGGCCGUUUAUUUGAUAAGGUUUUGCGGGGAUUAAAGUGCGGACUAAGUGGCAAUCCGGUACCGCAUGGGUCUCUGAGUAAAGGGAAACCGCCUUUUCGGCGACGAAAGGGUUCGGGGAUGGGAAAGCCUUCCGGACCAAAGCCGCAGCGUUUACCCGCGAAGCUGUCACCUGUUUUGUU
rnacentral:sRNA from 1 species